UUCUGUCAUUUUUGUAUAUAUGUACAUAUUAUAUUUUCGUAACAUGACGCGUGAAAACAUUUUUUAUUAUCUUUACCGCAAUAUUGAGUAUAAGAUAUACUAGAUAUUUUUCCAAAGGAUGACAAGGGUAUUGAAGGUGCCAGAAUUGAAUUUAUCGAAUAUAGAAAUCCAUGUAAAAACAUGCAAUUUAAAUUAAAGAAAUUAGGAAACUACCUCAUUAUUUAGUUUCAGUUAAAUUUAACUUUUGUUGAAUUUAAUUGAAAAACAAAUAAUAUAUGUAUAAAUAUUCAAUUAAUAUUUAUAUAAAUUCCAAGUACUUUUUCAUUUCCAUCUACAUCAUACAUAUUUCUACUGACAACAAAAAAUUAAUUUCAUCAAAUCUUUUCGAUUUACUCCAGAAAAAAUACCAGUAUCUCCUCUGAUUAAAUCCAACAGAGCCAACAUAUCGAGCCAGAAUUCCUCACCUCAUAUAAAAGGUUAAACUAACAAAAGCUAUCCUUGAAACCAUCCCUCGAUAAUUCCCUCAUAAAACAUUCCAGGAUAAAAGAAGAGAAAGAAGAGAGAAAAAAAGAGGGGGAAAAAAAAAAAACAAAACCAAUUCUCGUAUAUACUUUUCCACCGUCGAAAAAGCAACAUCUCAAAUUUUCAUUCAGAUCUUUCCAAUAAAGUAAAAACCAAAAAAAAAAAACACGCGUUCCCCCUUUCACUCUCCAUCUUCCAUCGAAUUUCCAUCACCGUUAAUCCACUCGAAACUCCGAAUCCCAAACUCCAAAAACCGACGGAAGAAAAAGAAGAAGAAGAAGAAAGAAAAACAAAAAAAAUCAAAUCCACCUCUCCGAUCCUCCCAUCCUCCCCGAAUUUCCAAAAAUUCCGCGCGAUUACUUUCGCCGCGACCGCAACCGCGAAAAAUCAACCCCACCACGCCACCCGCCUAUCCUCCCCUCCCUCGAUCAACUUUCUCUCCUCGUGAAAACCACGGAGCGGCCUCCUCCUGGACGCAGUUGAAUCGAGCGCGCGUUUUCGCGGGGGUGCCGCGCCACGCCGUUCCGAGCCUGAGGAACGAAAAGGUAGGGUUGGGCAGGGAGGAGGGCCAGGGAGAGGAGCGACGAGGGCAGAGGGGCGACGCGUUAUCCGCUAUUCGUACCCCGGGCAAGGGAACCGAUCGUUACUGGAAAACUCGGCGCGGCGGUGGAGGGGCCUUUUCAUUUUCCAAAGGGGGCGCGCACAGUUUUGCUGCCUCUCUCUCACUCUCUCUCUCUCUCUCUCUCUCGCACCAACGCGUACGUGGGAGAGAGGCUGGCGGCGGCGGCAGCAGCUGGUGGUGGCGAUGGAAGGAGAGAGCGGAAGACACGAAAUUCGCCCUUCUACGGGGCGUCGAGACACGCGCGACGUUAACACGACCCGGCUACGGAGGAGGGGCGGGAGGGAGAAGGACGAGACGAGACGAGACGAGAGCGCAGCCGUCUCCGAUCGGGAGAGAUCCGUUGUAUCAGCAGUAUCGAUCAUUACUAGUGGACUAUCUUUCCGGUCUGAACGGUUUAAGCCGCGUAUGAAGUUACGGAUACGAUUGUACCCGACUGCCGGGUGACUUUCGUCUCGGGCUGCGUCUCGAAUAAUAAUAGGACGGCCCGCACCUCUCUAUAUAAAUUUCAGAAUUACGCCUUCAAAGUCGUCCGUGAUAUUUGCAACGGUCCUCAGAGUCGGUGCACCUUCUCUGCCUAUAUCGGGGUGUUUGGCUGUGGAAUCGAGGCCUGUCGACCUUGGGAUCCGUCGCGGAAAAGGAAGGCGAGACGCUGACGAGACGAGUUGCGAGAGAGGGAGGGUUGUGAGAGGAGGUGUAGAGCGGUGCGGGGUGGCUAAUGGAUAUUGUUUGAAACGGUGGAGGAUGGACCAUGGUUGCGUUGGUUUUCCAGGAAAAAUGGAUCCUUUUUUCUUCCCCGCCCCCUUCCCAACUUCUUGCGGUGAAAUCAAGGGGAUGAGAUGGAUGGUUUCUGCGGCGUACUUUUUCGGGAUAAGUUGGUGGAAAUUUUUUCUUUCACACGUAUUCGAUAUCUGUUUGAAUUGUUAUUUAUCAUGUAAAUAUUGGAUAAAAAAGUCCAACGAAAUUUUUGAAUUUCUCUUCGAUUUUAUACAUUUAAACCGUAUAUUGUAAUUUAUUAUAUAUAUAUAUUUUUUUCAAUUAAGUUUGAUGAUGGAAUUUUAAUUAUAAUAUCUUGAUUAGAAUAAGAAGAACGAAGAGGAUUAUAUUUUUUGUUAAUUAAUCCUCGCGUUUAAAAAAGAAGAUUUUCCCCUCCUUUUUUCCCCUCUUUUUAUUAUAUCGUUGUAAAAUAAUUGAUGGAUAAAGAUGACAGGAAACGUGAUGGAGAUUGCAGUCGAUAACUGUCAAUAUUUUUUGGAACGCUCAUUCUUGGAACGAGAAUGAUUUUACAUAUUUUGUUGACUGUUCGUCGUUUUACAGAAUAUUUUUGCGGGUGAGUAGGAAAUUUUUCCAGACAACAUCUGUCGAUCGCAGAGAACUGCGAGCGUUUGACGCAACAAAGAACGAUACGUUUGCAACGAAAAAAAUUUUGACACGGAAAAGAUCCGACAUUGCUCUUUUUCCAUAGAGAAGGAUCAAAUUCUCUAUCGACGAAAUUUUAAAAAUAUUUAUAUCGAGCUCCGUUCGUAUUUUCAAAACACGCGUGAUUCGCUCAUCAAAAAAUUUUGAACGGAAAUAUCUUUCUUGAAAAAUAUAUUUUUGGUAUCGAGUAAAGAAGAAAAAGAUUGGGAUAAAAUUAGGAAAUUUCGUUUAUAGAAUUCCACUUUCACUUUGUUUAAUUUGUGCAUAUUUGUAAGAUACGUUUGGAUUUGCGUUUAUUGGAUUCUCCCUUAAAAUAAAUUAAAUAAAUUUUCAAUAAAUCACGGUGUAUUAAUAUCACAGAUCACAGAGGGUGUAUACAACCUAGAUGACAUUUUCACUUCAUGGUUCAGUUCGCGUUUCAUUCGUGCAACAUCCCAUGAGUUUCAUUGCUUCUCUCCGAGUUUAUAAGGUAUUUCCAUGCAAACGAAUCACUUAAGUGUAUUUCCAACAUCCGAGAAUUCGCUACGCGAGCAGUCGAUUUUUCGAUAUUCCCUGACGACAUCGAUGAAAUGCAAAUUCUCGACAAUAUCGUCCCACUAUAGGACAUCCUCCUCCAUUCUUUGUAUCUUUCCAUCCAACUUCUCAAUCGUUACAGAAGGAAUGCAAUAUUUCUGUAUCGUGGAACAGAAAAAUUGCAGAUACUUUCUCUUUGGAUAAAAAAAAAGGUCACGAGUGCAAAGAAUCAUUUCUCAGAAUAAAAGGAGAAUCAUUCGAUCAAAAUUGUAAUCAAAGUUAGGGAAAAGAGAUGUUCGUAAUAGAAGAAUUAAAUAUAUAUAUAUAUUUAAAAUUAUUUAACCCUUAAUACGACAGAAUAUCAUCGAUAAUUUUAUCGAUAAUUAAUUAAAAGCAAGAAACUUUUCUCUUCGUCGAAAAAUUUUCAUGUUUCGCAAUAUCGCAAUAUUUUGCAACGAGAAGAGAUAUAUAUCCGUGGUGACACGAUACACAUAAUCAUUCUGUACGAUCCACGCGAAUAAACGACUCGUGUACGUGUGUACAAACACGAUAUAUCCACGGAACGCUACGAUUUCACGAAACAGACCGAAUAAAGGAGUAAUAGGUGACGCGUUGUACUUCAAUCUCGGGGAAACAUUUCAGCCUUACUAGAAAGAUAAAACUCACCAUUCCCUCAAACGUUUGGGGUUCAGAGUUCGAGCGUUUUGUGGCCUCGCCCGUUUCAUUUCCCAUUUUACGACCAAGAUAAACCUGAUUUCUUUACGCCUACUUUCACGAGCAGCUUUUCCUCCCCACCCCCUAUUUUUCGGGAAGGAAGGGAAAACUUCAUAGCACGUACAGCACGUAUACACGUCACGUGACCAUCGUUCGCUAAAAACCAUUCGUUUAUUAAUUUAAUCUGUAGAAAUUGAAAUCGUUGUCUCUCUUUUUCAUCCUUUUUCUUCUUUCCUUCUUUUUUAUUUUUUAUUUUUAAUUCUUUUCUUGCGCGAUGCAUAUAUCGAAAAGCAAAUAAAAUGCACGUUAAAGAACGUUUUAUUUUUUCCGGUGUAUCGUGUUUCCACAAUUACACAUGAAUAUUAAAAGUAAUUGUUAAAGUCGAUUAUUAAUAAUAAUAUUUCCAGUGAAAAUUAAACGCUAAAAAUACAACGGAAAUUCCUUCUUACUCUACAUUAAAAAUAGAA